UGGGGAAUAUUGGACAAUGGGCGAAAGCCUGAUCCAGCCAUGCCGCGUGUGUGAAGAAGGUCUUCGGAUUGUAAAGCACUUUAAGUUGGGAGGAAGGGCAGUAAGCGAAUACCUUGCUGUUUUGACGUUACCGACAGAAUAAGCACCGGCUAACUCUGUGCCAGCAGCCGCGGUAAUACAGAGGGUGCAAGCGUUAAUCGGAAUUACUGGGCGUAAAGCGCGCGUAGGUGGUUCGUUAAGUUGAAUGUGAAAGCCCCGGGCUCAACCUGGGAACUGCAUCCCAAACUGGCGAGCUAGGGUAGGUCAGAGGGUGGUGGAAUUUCCUGUGUAGCGGUGAAAUGCGUAGAUAUAGGAAGGAACCCCAGUGGCGAAGGCGACCACCUGGGCUCAUACUGACACUGAGGUGCGAAAGCGUGGGGAGCAAACAGG
rnacentral:rRNA from 1 species